GGGCGACUAGCUCAACAGGUAGAGCGUGGUCUUGACGUGACCAAGGUAACAGGUUCGAGCCCUGUGUCGCCCA
rnacentral:tRNA from 1 species